UAGAGUUUGAUCAUGGCUCAGGAUGAACGCUAGCGACAGGCUUAACACAUGCAAGUCGAGGGGCAGCGGGGAGGUAGCAAUACUUCCGCCGGCGACCGGCGCACGGGUGAGUAACACGUAUGGAACCUGCCCGUAGCAGGGGGAUAAGCGGAAGAAAUUCCGUCUAAUACCGCGUAAUAACUCCGAGAGGCAUCUCAUGGAGUUUAAAGGGUAAUACCGGCUACGGAUGGCCAUGCGGCGCAUUAGCUAGUUGGCGGGGUAACGGCCCACCAAGGCGACGAUGCGUAGGGGUUCUGAGAGGAAGGUCCCCCACACUGGUACUGAGACACGGACCAGACUCCUACGGGAGGCAGCAGUGAGGAAUAUUGGUCAAUGGGCGGGAGCCUGAACCAGCCAAGUCGCGUGAGGGAUGACGGCCCUAUGGGUUGUAAACCUCUUUUGCCGGGGAGCAAAGUGCCGCACGUGUGCGGUUUGGAGAGUACCCGGAGAAAAAGCAUCGGCUAACUCCGUGCCAGCAGCCGCGGUAAUACGGAGGAUGCGAGCGUUAUCCGGAUUUAUUGGGUUUAAAGGGUGCGCAGGCGGAUUUUUAAGUCAGCGGUCAAAUCGUGGGGCUCAACCCCAUCCAGCCGUUGAAACUGGGGAUCUAGAGUGUGCGAGAAGUAUGCCGAAUGCGUGGUGUAACGGUGAAAUGCAUAGAUAUCACGCAGAACUCC
rnacentral:rRNA from 1 species